UGUGGUGUCUUUCUGAACUUCUCUGAUCGUCCGAGCUUCCAUAAUACCAUCCAGACUUCUCCGAUAAUGAGCUCCUCCAUUCAUCUACCAGACUGCUCCAAACGCUCUCCGAGCUUCACUAUCAGCCAAUUUUCUACAGUGAUCGACUAUUCUUCGAAUCUCUUUCGGACUUCGUUAAUGUCCGAGCUUCUCCAACAACAGGACUCCUAUAGUAACCAGACUCCAUCUAAGUUUCUAUGGCUGUCGACCACCUUUCAGAUUUCAUCCGAGC
rnacentral:lncRNA from 1 species